UGGCUAUAAAAUGUUUUGUUUUUCUGCAGUUUGUUGUUAGUGCUGAACGGUGAACGGGCAGCGUUUGGUUGCCAUCAUCAUCAUCAACAAAAUCUCUCGCACACACAGCAUAUCGAAAGAACGUACUUGUUCAUAAGACGCUAUCUUCACACGUCUCUCUCAAUAUACACAUAUGUAUCUGUGUGUGUGUAUGUGUGCGUGAGCUAAAAAUAGCGCCUGAAAUCAAGUGCCAAGUGACCAAAAAACGAAAAAAUAACAGACACAAAAAUUACAACAAACCUGGCAAAGACAAUCAGAGGCGAAGACAAAACAAUAACAAAGAGUGCAAAUUGAAUAAAAACAGAAACCGACGAAUUUUGAUCAAGUGCAAAUAGCGCAAUAGAGGACAAAAAUCACAACAGGUGUUUCAGCUUUAAUUACGAAUUAAUAUACCUAACACUUUCGACCUUCACACACACCUAUGUGUGUGUGCAUCUGUGUGUGUGUGCUUAACUGAUUUGCUGCUCGCACGUGCAACAAAAGAUGGUUGAAGAAUUUCUCGAGAAAUUGCCAGAAAUCGACACACGUUACGAGGAUAUUGUGCCAAU